CGAGUGCAUCCACAAUCUUCCACGUUCCAGCCUCCUCAAAUUCCUUCCGUGAUUCACAGCGCAUUCCUCCUUCUGCAACGCAUCCCAGAUUCCGCGAUCGCGAUCCAGCCAUCUGCGCGCGAUUCUCCCACAUCCAAGGUGCUGCGAUCUUCCAUUCCCGCUUGCAAACCUCCCAGCAUCCGUGCCCCAUUCUCACGUGUUCCCAGUUGUCCGCGAUGCAAGCGAUUGCGAUCUUCCGAGAUUCAUCCUAUCCGUCCGUCUCCACCGCGUGCGAGAAGGGGAUCGAAGGCCAGCUUGAUAUCUCUCGCUUGGCUGGGGGAAAGGGUCUCUUAUCUCUCAUUUGGAAAGGAAAACAGGGGCUCUGCCAUUGAAAAAAAAAAAAAAGAGAAACAGGGCAUGCUCUGCUUCCGAAAAGAAUAGGAAAAAAAUAUGGGAAAGCUAAUGUCUAUUAUGGAGCGCUAAAGUCCUAGGUGAUGGGUGAAGGAAGAUCCUUUGAUGUACCGAGUUCAUGAUGUAAAUUCUACUCCUUUGCUUUAUACGAUUUAUCUUUUUGAUUAUGCCAUGAUUCUUAUAUAUUGAAAUUUUUUUUAUGAUUUAUGCUUAUUGAUACAUGUCUUUCUCGAUUAUUUGAUUCAUCGUUGACGUUAUAAGGCACAUUGAAUACUUAAAAAGAGAAUUCGUGUUAUCAAGAACAUACUCCAUAAUUAAAUUUUUAUCUGCUUAUAAUUCUUAAAAAAACAAAAGAAUUAUAGAAUUUAUCGCAUAAAUUUGAUAUUAUCAAAGGAGAUUCUGGAUCCCUACACCAUCUUAAUUUAUCCAAACUUCAAUUCUCUAUUUACUGAUUUAUUUUCUAUUUGCAAAACAUCAUCUUAAUCCACAAAUUUAUUAAAUUAAUUAAUCUGAAAUUAUACUAAAUAAUCUCAUAUAUAUUUCGUUCCCUGAGGAUUCGACCUCGGACUCCCGAGAAUUUACUACUUGUACGAUUCUCUUAUACUUGGGAGAUUAGUUUCGCAAAAGCAUUUUUGUGAACGCAUCAGCUGCUAAUAAAACUUUUAGGAUGCCACAUAUGCAUGAACCAUCUUCAACCAGAGCACAUGAUCCAUCUUCUUUACAAGUAUGUCUGAAUUAACUAUCUAUGUAACAAAAUAUUUUUGUUAUUUACUAAAAAAAAUUCAUUUUAUAUAGUAAACCUAUAUUUUUUAGGACUUUGAUUGUUAAAUGUCGUAUCUUAUAUGAUUUCAUUUUCAUUCCUGAUAGGGACACACUGCAAGGGGAGAUGAUGCUACGGAGGGAGAGCAUCAUUUAUCACAGCAUAGAGAGGAUCAUUGAGGGAGACAGAGACACUAUGAUUAUUGAAUGUUGUUUUUUAUAUUCUUUUGGACUUUGAUUGUUGAACUUUGAUGGUAUAUGAAGUUGUGG
rnacentral:lncRNA from 1 species